UGCCCCAAAGCGGGGGAUAACAUUUGGAAACAGAUGCUAAUACCGCAUAACCACAGAAACCUCAUGGUUUCUGUGUCAAAGAUGGUUUCGGCUAUCACUUUGGGAUGGACCCGCGGCGUAUUAGCUAGUUGGUAAGGUAACGGCUUACCAAGGCAAUGAUACGUAGCCGAACUGAGAGGUUGAUCGGGCACAUUGGGACUGAGACACGGCCCAAACUCCUACGGGAGGCAGCAGGAGGGAAUCUUCCACAAUGGACGAAAGUCUGAUGGAGCAACGCCGCGUGAGUGAAGAAGGUUUUCGGAUCGUAAAACUCUGUUGUCASAGAAGAACGUGUGCGAGAGUAACUGUUCGUGCAGUGACGGUAUCUGACCAGAAAGCCACGGCUAACUACGUGCCAGCAGCCGCGGUAAUACGUAGGUGGCAAGCGUUGUCCGGAUUUAUUGGGCGUAAAGGGAACGCAGGCGGUUUUUUAAGUCUGAUGUGAAAGCCUUCGGCUUAACCGAAGUCGUGCAUUGGAAACUGGAGAACUUGAGUGCAGAAGAGGAGAGUGGAACUCCAUGUGUAGCGGUGAAAUGCGUAGAUAUAUGGAAGAACACCAGUGGCGAAAGCGGCUCUCUGGUCUGUAACUGACGCUGAGGUUCGAAAGCGUGUGUAGCAAACA
rnacentral:rRNA from 1 species